CAGUAACACUGUAACUGUAUGUGUAUCUGUUUGCUGUAUGGGUCAUAUUUCACUAUAAUAAAGGUGUUGCAUCAGAGUGCGGCUGUCCAACCUUCUUUACUUCUACAGUCUUUAUUGCAAAUUGAAAGUCAGGUGCUACCUCACCUAGGAUAGCCUAAAAAGGCUCCUGCUGCUGCUACUACUACUACAAGUGAUAUCAAGUUGAAAUGGCAAUCAGUGAAAACUAACCCCGGCUAUAGUCUCCAUGUAUUCAAAAUCAAUCUCUCAAGAGGUCGGGCUCCAGCCUGCCCAGGCAUGUCUAUGCCAACUACGUCGCUCUCCCUGUUUAAAAUUGUUUCCAAAAUUUCCAAAGAGUCAUGGUCAACCUCCUCUAAUAACCCUUUGUGGUUCAACCCCAACUUUUUUUUUUUUUUAUUGAGUAAAAAAGGUGCAUACCAAGUCAGCAUGACAUUCACAUAUAUACAGGUCACUAAGGAAAAUAUCCAUGAAUCAGGUGGUGCAUUCAAAACUGUCACAGUUUUUGAGCAUGUAAACAGGAUAUCUAACCCAAAAAGUAAACAAUCCAAUCAGUUUCGGCCUUAGUGACUCAAGAUAGGGCUAUAAUUUACUGCUGGUCUCUGUGGCCUUCAACCAGCAGUCCCAAAUGUUAUCGUAUUUGGCUGGGCAGCCUCUAUUUGAGUAUACACAUUUUUUGUAGGGUAAGAUUACAUUUACCUCCACUCCGAGAAACUGGGGUGGUGAAGACCUCAUCCACUUCCUGGCAAUAAUCUCUCGGGCUGAAAAUAGGGUUUAAUGCAAAAAUAUCUUGGUAUAUUUGUCUGACACCAGGGAAUAUCCUGAGUAUACAUUGUUUUGGAUCAAGUGCUAUGGGUGAGCCCAUGACAUCAUGAAGAAAAGUCAAUUUGCCUCCAAAGGUCCUGAAUUUUCAAACAAGCCCAGAGGAGAUGAAAGAUGAGGUGCUGUGGGGUUGCUGUGGGGUUGCCCACAGCAACCCAAGGUGUAUAUUGCAUACAUAACUUAUUCUCACGGGGAAUGACCUGAAUUCCUUCAUAUUCAGGACUCAUCCUGAAUAUGAAGGAAUUCAGGUAAAUCUCUGUUGUACUAUAGUGGCGUGUAAUCUGUGGUAUGCCCAAUCUGGCAGAGGCAAGGUCCCAAAUGCGUCUGUAAUGAAACAAAGACUUUGUAUCUCCACCCGACUCAGUAUUCUUGAAGCCCGCUGAGACUGCAUAGAGCGGAUCUCCAGUGCAUCUAGCCCCUUGUGGGCAGAGCAGGAGUCAGAAACGUGUGCUGUCUGUUUUGUCGAUGUGAAAUAAUCGGGAUAGCUGGGAUGCGAUGUAGUAGAGAUUAAAAUCUGGUAAUGCUGUACCUCCCAUAUCAGUCGGAUUUUUGAGUGCUUGCUAGGUGAGUUUAUGCCUACUGGUACCCCAGACAAAGGGCUUGAAGAGUACUUCUAGGGACUUAAAGUACUUUAUGGGUAGGUAUAUCGGGGUGUGCCAUAAGAUGUACAAUAUCUUGGGCAGGAGGACCAUUUUUACCAGGUUUAUACGGCCCCACACCCCAAGGGGGAGACGAGCCCAAACACGUAUCUUGACUCUAACCAAAGAAAACAAUGGUUCUAUAUUGAGAGCAAUAUAGUCAGCCGGCUCCUAGAAAUGUGUAUUCCUAAGUACCGAAUGGUAUCCGCUCUUUGAAGCGGCAGGUUCUUCUGGGACUCGGGCGGUAGGAAGCUAUCAAUCGGGACAAUUUGUGACUUUCCCCAAUUGAUCUCGAGUCCGGAGAAUUUACCAAAUUUCUCAAUCGUCUGAAGUGCAGCUUGAAGGAAAGGGCCCGAAUCAGCGAGGUAUAACAGUGUAUCGUCCACAUACAUGCAAAUUUUUUCUGUUAAGGGUCCCAUCUGCAAUCCCCCAUCUCCGAGUUUGUGCGAAUAGACCUAGCCAAGGGCUCCGCAGCCAUAGCAUAUAGAAGUGGGGAAAGUGGACAGCCUUGUCUCGUACCUCUACUGAGAUCAAACACCGGAGACUACCACCCAUUCGCCACCACUUUGGCCGUUGGAGCCUGGUAGAGGAGUCUGAACCACUUAUUGAAUCUAGGGCCAAAGCCAUAACGCUCCAGGCACCUCUAUAAAUGGCUCCACUUCAUGGAGUCAAUUGCCUUGGCCAUGUCCAGUGUCACAACUGCCCAUGUUCCUACAUUUUCGUGUGUGCCUUGUAAGUUGAUCUAUAAUUUGCACAAAUUAAAAGAGGUGUUACGACCAGGCAUGAAGCCUGCUUGAUCUGUGUGUAUGAGUGAGAGUAUGACUUGAUUGAGUCGGUUAGCUAGGACUUUGGCCAAUAUUUUAAUAUCCACCUGGAGGAGAGAGAUGGGGCGAUAUGAUUCUGGAUACCCUGGGUCUUUUGCUGGUUUGGGGAUAAGGACUAUGGUCACCUCCCUCAUAGAUGGGGGAAGUGUAAAUGUUUCAAGAAGGUGAUUGUAUAAAGCUAAAAGUUUGGGUACCAGGACCAUACUGUUAGUAAAAUUCAAUUGCAUGGCCGUCCGAGCCUGGGGACUUGGAUCUGGCAAACCUCGCAUAAGCCUCCUCUAUUUUCUCUGUCGUGAGGGGAGCCUCCAGAAGUUUGACUUGUUAGUUGAAUGAGGAAACACCUCCAGAAAAAAGUCCAUUGGGCCCACAUCUGUAGGGGUUGUAGACGUGUACAAUUCAGCAAAAAAGUCCUGAAACAUAGAGGACACUUUAAGCGGGUCUGUUAUUUGGAGGCCGUAGGGAAAUUACUACUGGGGGUCUGUCCUCGCUAUGGACCAAGUAAGCCAAAAGUUUGCCAGCCUUUCCCCCAUGCUCAAACAUCUUCUGUUUAGCAAAAAAAAAAAAAUCUGUCUAUCCUUUUUAUAUUGAAGUUUGGUAACCACUCUAGUUUGUAAUUUUAGGGCGUCUGCUUUUACUGGGGUGGGAUCAGCCGUAAAUCCCUGUUCUGUGAUGGACAACUCUGCCACCGCCCUGUCCAGGGCGUUUGCUGAGUCCGCCUUAAUCCGGAUGAUGCAUGAAGUUAAGUGCAUGCGGGCAUUUAGUUUGAAAGACUCCCAGACCGUCGCCACAGGGGCAGAUCGGUCAUUCUCCCAAAAAUAUUUGCCACUCAGUGAGGAGUUCAUCGUCCUCUGACAACAGGAAGAGCCAGAAUGGGUUCAACCACCAUGCUCGCAGUGGUUUGUCCACAGGUACACCUAUGGUGAUCCAAUACAGGCUAUGAUCCGAUGGUAGCCUAGGGGAGAAAGCAGCCUCCCCCAACCAAGGCAGAAGACUCCGUGAAAGAAGGAUAAGUUAAAUUCUAGACAUGGAGUUAUGGGUAGAGGGAAAAACAGGAAUAUGAUUUUGUACUGGGGUAUUUAUGCCGCCAGGUGGAAAGAAACAAUCGGGAAAAUUUUGUACUGUGGUAUUAAUGCCGCCAGGUGUCUGCCAGGUGGAAAGAAACAAUCGGGAAAAUGUUGUGUCCCCAGCUGUCCCUGUAGAGGGAUCUGUGAGUCGGAGCCUGUCUAGGGAAGGAUUCAGUGUGGUGUUGAAAUCCCCCAGCCGAACCGCUUGGACAGAGGGAUGUCGCGCCAUAAAUGCAAUUCCCUCUAGGAUUAUGGACAUGGAGAAUGGGGGAGGGACAUAGAAGGCCAAGAGAAGGAAGGGCUCCCCGUACAAGUUGGUAGAUGGGAAAACCUAGCGGCCCUGUGGGUCCAUGGAAGCCUCACAUAGUUCAAAGUGAACAGGUUUGGUCAUAAGUAUGGAGACUCCGCGUGCAUGGGUCGUGUGGGUCGAAUGAAAUGCCCACCUCACUCAUGGACGGUGGAGGGCUAUCUGCAAUCUCCCCUCUACAUGAGUUUCACCCAGUACCAUUACAUCGGCACGUUGCUUCUUUUUUUCUUUCAAUACAUUUUUAUUGGUAUAUAUUAAUACACAAACAAUAAACAAAAGUAACCAUCUGUUUUGUUCAUAAAACAUGCAAUUAAUGAGCAUACAUUGGAUUAGAUAAAUUCAGCAGGUAGUCUAAAAUGGAACACCAGUCGAGUAAAUAAGUAAUAAAUUAAUUAAAAGGAAUGUACCUAACUGAACAUGGAAAAAACAUUACUCGUUGUUUGACACAAUUUUAAAACAUCAAGAUGAAUGCAUUAGGAAGCUUAUGAUAUAAACACAGAAAAGAGCAACAGGGUAACCUCAAAUGUUAGUAUUAGUAAUAAGCGACACGAUGGGUCUCAGAAAACUCAAUGUGGAAUAAAAGCAACCUCCCUUCAUGGGAAAACACUAGCCACAAUGUCUAUGUGUUAUUUUCGUACCAAUUUGUCCAGGGGGUCCAUGAGUUUACGUGUUUAGGUAAGGUAAAUAGUGACACAGCCAUCACUCUCUCAUAUGUGCAAUGAACAUUGGUUAAGUCAAUAGCUUCCAAAAUACUAGGAGGACAUGGAUCUUUCCAUUUUCUGGUUAUCGAAAGUCUGGCAGCCAUAAGUAUAUGAACUAUCGAGCUCCUAAGAUUCGCUGAAAAGUUUUCAAUACCCAGAGAAAGCAAAGCCAGGGCGGGGUCUGGAAUGAUCCGCUUGUCAGAUAAAGCAGAUAUGAUUCCGAACACUUCCGCCCAAUAUUUCGUAAGCAUAGGGCAGCCCCAUAAAGUAUGUAGAAGGUCACCUCUGAAUCCGCAUAAUCUCCAGCACCUGUCCGACUGCUGUCCUCCAAAUUUGGAUACAACAUCUGGGGUAUAAUACCACCUCAAUGUGAAUUUAACAGAUAAUUCCCACAAUGUGGUACAACUUGAUGUUGAUUGAUUUAGCUUGCACGCGACACGCCAUUGGUCAUCCGUAUAUGUUUGACCCAAAUCCUUUUCCCAUUGAACAUGCGAGGAGGUCUUUGAGAAUCUCUGCUUUUCUUGGAGCAAAUUAUAGAAAACGGAGAUACCUUUUUUUCUGAUUUCUAGCGAAGUUAAAUAGGACCACAUUAUGGGAUGUACUUGAGUAAUGUUAACGUUCAAUUUUCUUAUACAUUUCACUAUGAGAGAAUAAUGAGUAAGGCACCAACUAGGUAUAUUGAAUUCAGAUUGAAUGACUUGGAAGGAUUUAAUCUCUCCCUUGAAGAAAAGGUUAUGUAUGUGUUUAAUACCAUAAUCACCCCAAAGAUCUAGUGGAACAUGUUUCAAAACUAGACUCAAUACAUUCAGUGGAGCAUGUAUUGUAAGAGUAGAAUCGGAGGGAUCUACAGAUUUUAGAACUUUAAGCCAUGUAGCAAUCGAUAACUGCAUUGUGGGGGGUAGAUAUGUGGGGAUUUUUAUCCCUAGCUCUGCACCAAACAGCCACAAAUUAGCAGAGCCGUGAACACAGAAGGAGGUUUCAAUCCGACCCCAUGCUGUAGUGGGGUAAGGUUGAAACCAUUCCUUUAGCUGGGACAGUAUAGACGCCUGAAAGUAAUCACGAAAAUCGACAUAGCCCACCCCUCCCCACUUUCUAUGUUUAAUCAGUUUGUAGUGGGCGCACCUCGACUUCUUUCCAUUCCAAAUGUAUUUGGAGAGGAUUGAUUGUAAAGAUUUGAAGAAGUGAACCGGGAUAGGUAUGGGUAAACACCUGAACAAGUACAAUAUUUGAGGUAGAUGCAACAUUUUGAAUGCCGAUAGUCUGCCCCACCAAGACAAUUCAUGUUUACCUAAUUUAGAUAGGUCAAUUUGCAGUUUCUUUUUAAGAGGAAUAUAGUUUUGCGUGAACAGAGAUCUAGUAGAACGGGUAAGAAGUAUCCCUAGGUAUGGAAUACUAGUUUCUACCCAUGAAUAUGGGAACUGAAGCUGGAGCAGGCUGUUGGACACAGCGUCAAUACCUAUAUCCAUGGCAUAGGACUUGUUUUCAUUAACUUUGUAAAAUGAAAUUUUACCAAACCAGUCCAAAAUCCUUUGAACUUCUAGAAGAGAAGAAAAUGGGGAAGAGAGCAUUAAAAUAAUAUCGUCUGCAAAUAAACUAAUUUUAUGAGUGCUGUCGCCUAUGGAUAUACCUGAAAUCUUCGGAUUGGAUCUAAUGUGUUCAGCUAAAGGUUCUAUUAAUAAAUUAAAUAUCAAAGGGGAUAAUGGGCAGCCUUGCCUGGUGCCAUUGGUGAUAUGGAAUGGUUUAGACAGCAUGCUAGAGCUGAAAACUCGCGCAAUAGGAUUAGAAUACAGGGCUAGAAUUGCUCUGAGAAUAAAGCCCUCAAAACCAAAUUCCUGCAAAGUGAGUAAUAGAUAGGUCCAAUUUAUCCUGUCAAACGCCUUCUCCGCAUCCAAUGAUAGGAGCAGAGAAGGCGUUCCGGUAGCGUUGAUAUUGUGGAUAAUGUCAAUCAACCUUCUGGUCACGUCGGAAGACUGUCUACCUCUAGUGAAACCAGUUUGGUCUAGAUUAAUUAAAUUGGGGAGGAUGUCUACAAUUCUAUUGGCAAGCAUUUUAGCAUAGAUUUUCAAAUCUACGUUUAGUUGAGAAAUGGGGCGGAAGUUUUGUGGGGAAAUUGGGUCUUUACCCGGUUUAGGCAGGGUAACAAUAAGAGCAGACAGCAUUUCCUUUGGGAAUGUAGAAACAGAUGCAGAAUGAUUAUACACAUCUCGUAGAUGUGGUAGAAGUACUUGUUUAAAUGUUUUAAAAUAUUCAAUGGAGUAACCAUCCGGACCCGGUGCCUUCGCCCUAGGUAAAGAAUCAAUGGUAGAGAGAAUCUCAAGACUAUUAAAGGGGCAAUUUAAAAGUGUAAGCUGGUUUAUCGUUAAUUUGGGUAAUUUAACAUGAGAUAGGAACGUUUGAAUCUCAUCGGUGGAGGGUUGAUGAAUAUUAAUAUCACUGGAGAGAUUAUAUAAACCACUGUAGUAGGAACUGAAUGAAUCAGCAAUAAGUUGGGGGUUAAUAAUUUUAUCUUUCGAGAUUGGGUCAUAAAGAUGAGAAAUCUUCGUCUUUAGUCUAUGGCCCUUAACUCUAUUAGCCAAGAGUUUACCUGCCUUGUUAUUGGCGACAUAGGAACGUGCCUUCAACUUUCUGAGAUUAGAAUCAUACGAUUCCAUUAGUACAGAUCUUAGUUCAUUUCUAAGUGCAUAUAUCUUGGAUUUAAGAAAGGUAGAGGGUUUAGAUUUGUUUUCAGAGUCAGCAUCUGCUAGUUUUUUGGUGAGUUCAUCAAUUUUAGAUCCUCUCAUCUUUUUUACCCGUGAUCCAAGUUGAAUGAAUAGACCACGAACGAAGGCCUUAUGAGUAUUCCAUACUACUACAGGAUCGGAUACGGAACCUUUGUUGUCCGAGAAGAAUUCGGUCAAUUUUUGAGAUAUAUAUUGUAUAUUAUCGGGAUGUUGUAAUAAAUAAUUAUUAACGCGCCAUAAAUAAGAUUUGUUUUUAGAAUUAACAUUCUUUAGCUUAAUGCUGAUCAGUGCAUGAUCCGACCACGUAGCAGUAUGUAUGUGAGACUCUAAAACAUUUUGAAGUAACCAUUUGUCGGAAAUGAAUAGAUCAAUACGAGAGUAUGUGUUGUGGCGCGGGGAGUGGAAAGUGUAGUCUCUCUCAGACGCAUGGCAGCAUCUCCAGAUGUCAUAUAACUCAUUUUCUGCCAUAAAGGCAGCAAGAGGGGAAGCAAACCUUUUAACAUUUGAGGAGGAAUAAACGUGUAUAUCAGGUACUAAGUUGAAGUCGCCACAAAUCAAAAGAUUACCUUUCUGCAUGUCUAUAAUUUUGUUCAUAGUUGCCUUGUGGAAUUUCAUUUGGCCAAAAUUAGGUGCAUAUAAGUUGACUAUCGUAUAUAAUACAUUAUCCAGCGUACAAACCAAGACAAUAAACCUGCCUUCAGGAUCAGCAUAUUCAUUUAGAAGAUUGAAAGCCAAUGUAUCUCGAACAGCAAUUAACACACCUCUCUGCGAGUAUAGUCUGCCUUGAAAAUAUGAGGAUAAGAGUUAUGGCGACAUUGAGGAGCAUUAUCUUUGACAAAAUGCUUUUCUUGUAAGCAAAGAACAUCGCAGUUGGAAGACAGCGCAGUCUUCCACACUGAGGCCCUCUUAGCCGGGUGAUUUAAACCAUUAGUAUUUAUAGAGAGAAAAUUGAUAGACAUUUUGUAGCGGUGGGUAUGUGUAAUGUGAGUGAUACUUACAGAAAGGGAUUACCUCUAGGCGAUAUGGAUCAGUGAAAAUUGAAAGAUGUCCAGAAGUAUGCACUGUCAGGGAACACGGAAUCAACCAGUCGUUCUGUGACAGCUGCAAAUAAAAACUAAAACAGAAACAAAAUCAAAACAAGAAACAAAAUAACAAAAUAAAACAAAACAAAUUAAACCCAAAACAAACAAAACAAAAUAGCCAAAAUAUUUGGAAUGGCAACAAAUCAAAAUAGUGAGAUUGCUAGCAUAUGUAUAUGAAACAAAUCGCUAUUAUGUGUACUAGGGAUAUGAACCUGGUACAAGCAAUGCAA